rnacentral:tRNA from 1 species
CAGGGAGACAAAACUGAUCUUGAUGUCUGAGUGAAUUUAUUCUUAGACCAUGAUCCUGUCACCUUAGGUCGAUCGGUACCUCAGAUUUUUUGUCUAAAUUACUGAUUUCUUAGUGUUUAGUUCAAUUGAUUUCUGUUCCUAAACUUUGUCUAGGUCACACCCCACAAAGGUUACUCCUGGGCCAUUAGCUCAGGUGGUUAGAGCGCACCCCUGAUAAGGGUGAGGUCCCUGGUUCAAGUCCAGGAUGGCCCAUUCGGUUUUGGGGGUUUAGCUCAGUUGGUAGAGCGCCUGCUUUGCAAGCAGGAUGUCAGCGGUUCGAGUCCGCUAACCUCCACUGGCCGACCUCCUGUAAUAGCCAAUUAUGGGACAACUUUGUUAGAUGUGACUUUGAUUUGUUCCCGCUGAGGGAACCUAGCUUCUUUUCAUUCGUAACUCUAUUUUUCAUGAGGUAAGGCUGAAAGGAUGCUGGGCUCGCUGUAAUUUUAUGAUUACAGGUUUUCAGCAGAACCUUGACAACUGCAUAGGUAAGUCUGGAAAAAUAAAGCAUCUCAUGGAUGCAUUUUUCUAAUUAGCUCUUAAUUUUUAAUUAAUGAGCUCUCUAGGAAAGUGUUUAAUUCUUGAGCAAGAGCCGAGACUCUAAAACAUAUCUUUUAUCUUUUUAUAGAUAAGAGUUAGAUCUUUUAUUCAUACAUAGUUAGAUUUGAUUUGAAAUUUAGUUUUCUAUAAUUUCGAAUUGAUCUACUUAGUAAGAAUAUUGAAAAUGCGUUUUCAACAACGUUUAUAUGUUUUAGAGAUUAUAU